GUAGGAUAGUGCUAGUGUACAGAGUGAUCAUAGGUCGGUGGGGACUCGUUGGGCCGAAGGGCCC